UAGCAAUCCCUCCAGGCAUGGGGGAUGGGGCUGCUCCCUCUUAACUGAGGAAAACAGGCUAGUGGAUUACUACACAGACUCUGGCUUGGCAUUGGUAGGAGACCCAAGGGCCACCAAGGGUCAAGCAUGUUUUGUGCAGCAAACUGGGGGUGGGGGGGGGGCAGGUGUGUGUGUGUGUGUGUGUGUGUGUGUGUUGUGAGGCUCGAUCUCUGGGAUCCUGUCAGCAGACCACAGGCUCAGCACUUGGGUCCUGUUACUAAGUGCCUUUGUGUGGCUACUAGUGACCCAUCUGGUCUCAUAGGACACAGGGUUCUGUUGACACUUUUGCAAGAGUCCCAGGGAGUUUUUCCCAGGAAGAGUUACAGGUCACGAGGAAAGUGACCUUUGGUCUCCCAGUUCUGCCCCAGGCUCUUUUCCAGGACAAAAGCCUCUCUGGACAGCCUUCUUUCUCUUCUCAGGCAAUUCCUUCUCCUUGGGUUUGUUUUGGAGCCUGAGUGGGGAGCGUGUCUACCUGAGUCGCCUUGGGCAUGCUCUCUCCUGUCUUCACAUGUGAUGUAGGAACAGUGAAAGACCUUAGCUCAUGGGAAGGCUGGGAAAAUCCGAGCAUCAAACAUGAUGAGAGCGAUAACCACCAGGAUGGUGAUGACGACAACAACGAUGACGGUGGUGAUGAUGACUACGAUGACGACUACGACGACGAUGACGAUGAUGGUAGUAGUGCUGGCAACAGCCCUUUUCAAAUGACCCUUGGACCAGCUCUGACCAAGCCUGGGUUGUACUGUCAUCCUUCCUGCCCACCUGCAGGAGGCAUAGUGGAUCAUGGGAAGGUCGGGCCAGUUUGGGUAGAACAGCCCCUGGAUUCUAGAGUUGGGGCUUACAGCUUUGUGACUGUAUAAUUAAGAUGAACAUGUAGACCUUAAGGGGGAGACUGCAAAUUUUAACUAAGGUUUAAAGAUAAAAUACAGGGAUUCAGAAAAUGUCCUACUUGCUUUGGGCUUUAACUUUGAGGCAAGAUUAGAAAGUAUCCCGGGGUUCUCUGUCCUCAGGAUCCAGGAGGCAAAGGGCCGGACAGCUCCAGGAAGGAGUCCCCAAGGGCAUGAAGGUCUUCGGAGUUCUUCUUCCUUCUCCUCUUCCUCCUCCUCCUUCUUUUCAUUUUUUUCCUCCUCCUCCUCUUCUUCCUCCUCUUCCUCCUCCCCUCCUUCUCCUCCUCUUUUUGCUUUUCUGUCUUCUCAAUAAACGCCUUUAAAGACAUUGGGAGGGGUGUGGA
rnacentral:lncRNA from 1 species